UACGGAGGGGGCUAGCGUUGUUCGGAAUUACUGGGCGUAAAGCGCACGUAGGCGGCUUUGUAAGUUAGAGGUGAAAGCCCAGGGCUCAACCCUGGAAUUGCCUUUAAGACUGCAUCGCUAGAAUUGUGGAGAGGUAAGUGGAAUUCCGAGUGUAGAGGUGAAAUUCGUAGAUAUUCGCAGGAACACCAGUGGCGAAGGCGGCUUACUGGUCCAUAACUGACGCUGAGGUGCGAAAGCGUGGGGAGCAAACAGG
rnacentral:rRNA from 1 species